rnacentral:rRNA from 1 species
CUUAGAGUUUGAUCCUGGCUCAGAUUGAACGCUGGCGGUAUGCUUAAGACAUGCAAGUCGAACGGAAGCCCUCGGGCUUCAGUGGCGGNNGGGUGAGUAACACAUCGGAACGUACCGGCUAGUGGGGGAUAACCCGUCGAAAGACGGGCUAAUACCGCAUACGCCCUACGGGGGAAAGCAGCAAUGCGCUAUUGAAUGAGCCCGCGUAAGAUUAGCUGGUUGGUGGGGUAAAGGCCCACCAAGGCGACGAUCUUUAGCUGGUCUGAGAGGAUGGCCAGCCACAUCGGGACUGAGACACGGCCCGGACUCCUACGGGAGGCAGCAGUCGGGAAUAUUGGACAAUGGGCGCAAGCCUGAUCCAGCAAUACCGCGUGUGUGAAGAAGGCCUGCGGGUUGUAAAGCACUUUCAGUGGGGAAGAUAAUGACGUUACCCACAGAAGAAGCACCGGCUAACUCCGUGCCAGCAGCCGCGGUAAUACGGAGGGUGCAAGCGUUAAUCGGAAUUACUGGGCGUAAAGCGCACGUAGGCGGCCUUUUAAGUCAGAUGUGAAAUCCCCGGGCUUAACCUGGGAACUGCACCUGAUACUGGGAGGCUAGAAU